CGGGACACCGGAGACAGGUGGUGCAUGGUUGUCGUCAGCUCGUGUCGUGAGAUGUUGGGUUAAGUCCCGCAACGAGCGCAACCCCUAUUUCCAGUAGCCAGCAUUCAGGAUGGGCACUCUGGAGAGACUGCCCGGGAUAACCGGGAGGAAGGCGGGGAUGACGUCAAAUCAUCAUGCCCCUUAUGACCAGGGCUACACACGUGCUACAAUGGCGUAAACAAAGGGAGGCAAAGCGGUGACGCCAGGCAAAUCCCAAAAAUAACGUCCCAGUUCGGAUUGCAGCCUGCAACUCGGCUGCAUGAAGCUGGAAUCGCUAGUAAUCGCGGAUCAGAAUGCCGCGGUGAAUACGUUCCCGGGUCUUGUACACACCGCCCGUCACACCAUGGGAGUCGGAAAUGCCCGAAGUCAGUGACCCAACCACAACGUGAACUUCGUUCACGUGGAGGGAGCUGCCGAAGGUGGAGCCGGUAACUGGGGUGAAGUCGUAACAAGGUAGCCGUAUCGGAA
rnacentral:rRNA from 1 species